AGUGAACGCUGGCGGCGUGCUUAACACAUGCAAGUCGAACGAGAACGGAUUAUAGCUUGCUAUAAUUGUCAGCUAAGUGGCGCACGGGUGAGUAAUGUAUAGGUAAUAUGCCUCUUACUAAGGGAUAACAAUUGGAAACGAUUGCUAAUACCUUAUAUUCCUUUUUAUCAAAAGAUAAAAAGGGAAAGAUUUAUUGGUAAGAGAUUAGCCUGUAUUGUAUCAGUUAGUUGGUGGGGUAAUGGCCUACCAAGACGAUGACGCAUAACUGGUUUGAGAGGAUGAUCAGUCACACUGGAACUGAGACACGGUCCAGACUCCUACGGGAGGCAGCAGUGGGGAAUAUUGCACAAUGGACGAAAGUCUGAUGCAGUAACGCCGCGUGGAGGAUGACACAUUUCGGUGCGUAAACUCCUUUUAUAUAAGAAGAUAAUGACGGUAUUAUAUGAAUAAGCACCGGCUAACUCCGUGCCAGCAGCCGCGGUAAUACGGAGGGUGCAAGCGUUACU
rnacentral:rRNA from 1 species